rnacentral:rRNA from 1 species
UCUAAGCGGGAAGCCGGCCCCAAGAUUAGGUGUCCCAGGCCGUAAGGCCUCUAAAGACCCCUCGUAGACUACGAGGUUGAUAGGCCAGGUGUGGAAGCGACGACUUACGGAGUCGCGGAGCUGACUGGUACUAAUCGGUCGUGCGGCUUGACCUA